rnacentral:lncRNA from 1 species
GGUCACUGAGCUCAUUAUCCCUAAGCAGCGUUCAAACCCAGGCAGUCAGGCAGGCAGGCAGGCAGGCUGGCUCUGGAGCCUGUGCCACUGCCCUCUCUGGUAACUGAUUAGGACCAAAUAUCCCUGUGAUAGUCCUUCAUAAAGGCUGUCCUUGACAGCUGAGCCUUUGACAAAUCUUGGGCAGCAGUGAGUUUAAGGAAAUGUGUGAAUCCUGAUGAGUUCCUGAGGGGCCAACAUUCUGGAGGGCUAGUUACUGUGGAGCCGUAUGCUUUACCCGUGGGCUGAGAUGGAAUAGGACCAACAGAUUUCCGCUCAGGGUCCCAGUAUGGGCUCUGGCUUGAACUGAAGGUGAUCCAUGAGCUGGGUUCAGAAAAGGGGGUAGGCAAAUAGGGAAGCAAGGCCAAAGUGCAGAGCUGUGAUCACUUGAGGGUGUCAUGUCAACCUUGUCUCAUGCACCAGCUGAAUUCAGUGACACUAACAUCCUGGAUCCUGCAGAUGAGAGUAUUAUGACUGCACUACCAGGGAGGCUGCCCAGGGCUGGAGAUUGCUCUGCUCCAGAGGUGCUUGGUUUGCAGUGUGGGCGGACUCAACCUGAGCGAAAGCCACACAAAAGCGCCUUGAGCUGGAGCCCCAUGCUAGUGUUGGUUCCACCAGUGGCUCUUUUUGCCCAGGCUUCCUGAGGAACCUCAGAUUUGAAAGAAGAGUGAAUGGAAGUCAAAUGUGGAAACCACUCAAAUGUCCAUCAACUGAUGAAUGAAUAAACAAAUCAUGGUAUAUCCAUACAAGGAAUAUUAUUCACCCAUAAAAAGGAAUGAAGUCUUAAUACACCUACAACUGGAUGAACAUUGAAAACAUUAUGCUAUCCAUUCUGCUUCAGACCGGAAAGGAGAAACAGUCUAAACUGCAUGAAAGUCCUGGUACUGCUGUAUCUCGUACUAUAAGUUCAGUUUUCUCCCUUCACCUGAGGGUAAGUUGAAGAAUAACUUCAUAAGCCAGGGAGAGAUACGUUUGGAUCAGGAGUUAGUGAUAACAGGUUAAUCCUUUUUGCGCUCAUGCUCAGAUUUAUAAUGAUGUAGAUAUACGUUUUAAAGAAAAUUUAUGCUGGUGGUUUGCAGAAAGUUGACAUAUAUCCUAGGGUUUCCUUGUCAGAGGGCAGCAGGGUCCCCAUGGGUUCACAUCGUUGCCUGGACAAGGAGUCUUUGUACCCUAGUGGUGCCUGGGUUGUCGCAGGGAUGGGGUAACUCAUUUAUUCACACUCUUUCUCCUUUCCUGUUUCCUUCAAAGAUACCCUGGUCCUAGUUGACUCUACUUUACUGUUCAAAAUUCAGCUCAACAUAUGUCAAGCUGUACGUUCUUAAACUCAAGGAAACAGAAAGGUUAUAACCCCGUGGUUUCCAAGCCUGGCUUUUCAUCAGAGUCUCUUGGUGAACUUUUAGAAAAUCCAUAUUCUUGCCUCCGAUGUUGUAAAGCUUUGCCCCGUGUUUUCUUUGAAGAGUUUUAUCAUUUUUAGCUCUUGUGUUUAAGUCUUUGAUGCAUUUUCAGUUAAUUUUUGCAUAUGUUGUUAGUUAAGGAUCCAACUUCAUUAUUUUGCAUGUGGAUAUUCAGAUUUUCUAGCACUAUUUGUUUAAAAGACUGUCUUUUCCCCCAUUGAAUGGUCUUGCAUUCUUGUCAAAAAUAAUUUGACUCUUGUCAUCUCACUCUUGAAUCACAAGUCCUCUAGCCUCCAGAUGUGGCUUCCCAUUCAGUCUGUGUAUUGUAGUUACAGCCCUUAUUUUGAAAUAAACUUGAUCAUAUCUCUCUCGGGCUUAAAAAGUCUUCAGUGGUUUUCCUGGCACCUUCAGAAUAAAAUAAAGCCCUUCAGCAUGGGAUACCUGCCCCUUCCUAGGGAGGCCUCACUUCUCACGCCCCCCUGCUUCAUCUUGCAUGCCUCAGACUCUGGUGGUCCGUCUACUGGUUGAUCAUAGUGCUCUUUUAUGCUAUUGGACAUGUUACUCCUGCUGCCAGAAAUAUCUGCCUCCCACCUAACUCCCGUUCACCUAACUCCCAUUCACCUACUUGCUGCUCUACUCAGUAUGUCUCCUCUGUCUACCACAACCUGCUCCCCAUUAUGAGAAAUGUGCCCUUCUUUGAAUGCCCUUAUCUUAUUUCUUUCAUAGAACAUAAUUGCUCUGUGUUGGAAUGAUAGAUUUAUCUGCUUGUCUCCUCUCUAGAUUGUGAGAUCCAUGAGAGCCCAGAAAAUAUCUUAGGAUCCCUAGUGCUUAGCACAGAGCUUGGCAUAUGGAGGUAAGCAAAAAGAUUUUUUAAAUCCAGUUGUCCAUCCACUCAUCCAUUCAAUAUGAAUGAGAGAACAGCCCUUUUUUAAAGAGGGAUGGCCUUUUCUUAAAAGACCUCUAUCUUGAGGCAUUAUUUUCCCUUAUUCAAGUCCCAGUUUAUUAGGUCCUGGUACUUAAUGGUGAUAAAAGGGCAUUAUUAUUGAAAGGUUGGGUAUGUCAGGCCAUGGGAAGUAAGACUGGUUUUCAUCUUCUUAGAGUUUGGGAUAUAUGGAUGAAUUGAGUGAAAUGAGGAUUUUAGUGAGUAUCUCUACUAGGUUCCUGACAGGGAUGGUUUCUCCAGGGAUUCAACUGAAUCUUAUAGGUAGAUCUGAUCUGGUGAAAGAUAAGGUAUAAAUUGGCCUGUCAACAGGACAUUCGUACUGGUAGUUAUUACUACCAUGAUGGCUUUAAGAGAUUUUGGGGGCUGGCAAGAAGUAGAGUAAAUGUAGCAGAACAGAUGGAUGUUAUAGGGAAAAUAUAGCUGUAAGGAACAGUGAGAGCUUAGUGAUGGUGGCAGUAGAGCAUAAAAGACAAAUUAUCUUUAACUUUGGCUUUGCAAAAAUUGGGGUAUAAAGUGGGGCUAUAUUACUGAAGCAGUCCGAUUAGGAGGAUUCAUAAAAAUGAAAUGCAUUUCAUAUGCACAUCUGGGCAGCUAUAGCCACUGUAGGUUUCUUGUAGGUCUGAUAGAAAAUGAGCCCUGUUGGUGAAUACCUUAGCCAAUAUGAUGAAUACCUUAGCCAAUAUGAUGAAUAGUAGUGAAAGGCUGUACCUUGGGAGGCUCAGGAUUAUACUGAUGCACCCAUCACUCACAGUUACUAGACAUGUGGCAGAGACUGAAUAAAGGGUUGACCCAGGGACACUCCUUGAAUAUGUCCCCUUUUUUUGAUCAGCAUUAAUGGGUGCAGCACACCAACAUGGCACAUGUAUAUAUAUGUAACAAACCUGCACGUUGUGCACAUGUACCGUAAAACUUAAAAUAUAGUAAAAAGAAAAAAAAAAAGAAUGGAAUGCCUGAUUCUGCAUCCCUCUAGAUGGGAUCAACAGGAUCAAAACAUGACCUUGAUGGCCAAGCCAAGUUCUCUUUUUCCCAAAGGGUUUAAAUCUGCCCUAUUUAAUAUGGUAGCCGUAGCCAUAUGUAUUUAUAUUAAAUUCAAAUUAAUCAAAAUUUAAAAAUUAGUUACUUAGUCACACUAGCUACAUUUUACAUGCUCAGUAGCCACAUAAAGCCAGUGGCUGCUGUAUUGAACAGUGCUGAUUAUGGAAUAUUUCCAUCACUGCAAAAGGUUCUGUUGGACAGCAGUAAUCCAGAUCUCCUUUGUAGAAGAAUUGGCACCUGGGGCUGCCUGAUCUUCAAGGGGCACAUCACAGAGCAUGGUGUUGACCCAUCUGGAUACCAUGUUUGAAGUUGACAUGGCCCAGAAAUUUGACUUCCACCAGUUAAAAAUGUACUUCGACAGUUUUGUAUUUAACCUGUAAAUCCAGAAGCAUGUCAGGGCCUUCUGGAUGGAGCACUGUGAAAUUAGCAUACACUUCAAACCCUCUUCCCUAAAAGAUCAUGCACUACUGUGCUGUACAUGGUAGACCUAUCUCAUAGUGUAGGCUUCAGCAAAUACUCUUUGACAAAUAAUUGGUUCUGUGCUGAUGAUAAGCCUAAUAGGUGAAAGAUGGUCUUUCCCUUAAAAAAUUGAGAGAUCACAAAUUGGUGCAUUCUUAACUGUGGAUAAUUAUGUAUGAAGCCAAAUUGUAAUAAAACUGUUAUUUGCCAAACAUAGAAACCUUGCUUCGUGACUAGGCUGAGCCCAGAGUGUUAUUCUCUUCUUCUGCCUGUUAUGUAUCUGGGCAAUUGUAGGGCCUUUGCAGGUGAAUCCAGUAGAGAACAUGCUAAGAAUGAGCAGCAGUCAUGCAUGACUGUAUCAUUGAAAGCCUUCUAGCCAUUUUCGUGGUUUUAUUUUUUCAGAGGGGCAUCCACCUGAUUUCUGGAAGGCAUUGCUUCACUUUCAUAGACAGAAGAUGUAACGACUGCCACGAAGAUCCCUGGAGCUCUGCCUGGCGAUUCUCACUCCCACUGGGUAGCUGACAAAUUUUCCCUGAGAAGACAUGGUUUCCUCCAGCAGCAGCAGAAGGAGUCAUGGGUUUUUCUGUUUCAUGGCUCAAACUGUUGUGACUCGGAAUUAUACUAGGACAGGGCCCUGACUUAUUCUUCUGGGCUGGGCUGAGUAAGGCCUGGCUGAGUGUAGCUGGGUACACAGGUAGGGGUGGAAUCAAAGCUGGAGGUACCCAUAAUGCUGGUUAGGAGGAUAACUAGCUAGAAUAAGGUUGGCAAGAACUGGGUGAGCAGGGAUAGGAAUUAAGACUGAGGACUGGGCUGAGGGUAGGUCAGGGGUUCUGGCAGCAACACAGCUGGAAUGAAUGGAGAAGCACACAAACAAAACCAAGCUAAGAAGAGCCUAGAUCAAGCUUGUCCAACCCAUGGCCCACAGGCUCCAUGUGGCCCAGGA